UAUAUCCUACGGGACGCAGCAGUGGGGAAUAUUGGGCAAUGGGCGCAAGCCUGACCCAGCAACGCCGCGUGAAGGAAGAAGGCUUUCGGGUUGUAAACUUCUUUUCUUGGGGACGAAGAAAGCGACGGUACCCAAGGAAUAAGCCACGGCUAACUACGUGCCAGCAGCCGCGGUAAUACGUAGGUGGCAAGCGUUAUCCGGAUUUAUUGGGUGUAAAGGGCGUGUAGGCGGGAUUGCAAGUCAGAUGUUAAAAACACGGGCUCAACCUGUGGCCUGAAUUUGAAACUGUAGUUCUU
rnacentral:rRNA from 1 species